UUGAUUUAUUAUUUAUUUUGUUAUCAGACUUCAAGUUGUCAAGAGUUGUUCCUUCGGCGGGCACGAAUCCGCACAAAAGGCCGACGUCCGAACGCUCCGGUUUCCCGAAUCGAAAAGACUGGCCCGCCGAAGCUGCUUUUCAGCGAAAAUACACAAGGGUGGGAGGAGUCCGAAUUAACGGACACACUCGGUAAUGAUCCUUCCGCAGGUUCACCUACGGAAA
rnacentral:misc_RNA from 1 species